rnacentral:tRNA from 1 species
UGCUGGGUUGGCAGAAUGGUUGAAUGCACCUGAUUUGUAAUCAGGAGGAGUAAUCCCGCUGCAGGUUCGAAUCCUGUGCCCAGCACCAA